CGCUGGCGGCGUGCCUAAUACAUGCAAGUCGAACGGUCUUUCUAUGGAAGCUUGCUUCCACUGAGAAGAUAGUGGCGAACGGGUGAGUAACACGUGGGUAACCUGCCCAUAAGAGGGGGAUAACAUCCGGAAACGGGUGCUAAUACCGCAUAGUUUUCUUGAUCGCAUGAUCGGGAAAGGAAAGACGGCCUUUGUGCUGUCGCUUAUGGAUGGACCCGCGGCGUAUUAGUUAGUUGGUGAGGUAACGGCUCACCAAGACGAUGAUACGUAGCCGACCUGAGAGGGUGAUCGGCCACAUUGGGACUGAGACACGGCCCAAACUCCUACGGGAGGCAGCAGUAGGGAAUCUUCCGCAAUGGACGAAAGUCUGACGGAGCAACGCCGCGUGAGUGAAGAAGGUUUUUUCGGAUCGUAAAACUCUGUUGUCAGAGAAGAACAAGUUGGAGAGUAACUGCUCCAGCCUUGACGGUAUCUGACCAGAAAGCCACGGCUAACUACGUGCCAGCAGCCGC
rnacentral:rRNA from 1 species